AACUGUGAUCACUGAUCAGUCACGUCAGUCUGUGUGAGGAUGAGGGUGAAUAUCUACCUGCUCGUCUUAGUGCUUGGCUAUAAGGCCGCUGCAGGAAUAAUCCAUCAAACAGUUGAAGAAAAGAAACAGGUGUCUCUGAGAUGUCCUCACUCUGUGGAGGGAGACGUGACGUGGAGCAGAGAGAGGAAUGGAGACAAAACUGACAUACUGACAGUUAAUGGAGACAGAAAGACAUAAAACACAUUGAUGACCCGGGCAGACGAUACAGUUCAUCAGCUGAUAAGUCACUGUUCAUUCUAAAAGCUGUCGUCUCAGACUCUGGAAGAUACUUCUGUAACAAUGAAGCAGCUGCAGAUCUGACGGUGAUCCCAUCAGGAACAACUAUAGUCACUGCUCCAGAGAGGACCAACAUCACUCUGACAUGUCCUCAUGAUGUCGGAGCAUCACGUGUUCCAACAUGGAGCAGAGACUCUGGUGGAAGAAGGUUUGAUGUUUCCUCUGUUGACCAGACGUUGACUAUAACAGACGUGCAGCCUGGUGACUCUGGACUUUACUACUGUGAUGGAAAACCAGCUGUUUAUCUGAACGUGACCGAAGGUAACAAGGCACCACGCAUAACAACCACAAGGACAAACCCAACAACCCUGACAACAACCACAACAAGACAAACAUCAGCAGCGCUUCCUCCAACAGAAGCAAAAGUAACAACUGUACCAUCAACUCCACCUCAGAGUGGAGGUAACAAGACACAACAUAC